AUGCAUGUUUAAGCAGAAGCCGCACAAUGGUAAAGCCGCGAAUGGCUCAUUACAACAGCCGUCGUUUCUUGGAUCUCUAAUUUUACUUGGAUAACUGUGGUAAUUCUAGAGCUAAUACACGCACUAAAGCUCUGACCUUAUGGGACGAGCGCAUUUAUUAGAACAAAACCAAUCGGGUUUCGGCCCGUUCGUUGGUGACUCUGAAUAACUCUGCCGAUCGCACGGUCUCGCACUGGCGACGUAUCUUUCAAGUGUCUGCCUUAUCAACUUUCGAUGGUAGUUUAUGUGCCUACCAUGGUUGUAACGGGUAACGGAGAAUAAGGGUUCGACUCCGGAGAGGGAGCCUGAGAAACGGCUACCACAUCCAAGGAAGGCAGCAGGCGCGCAAAUUACCCACUCUCGGCACGAGGAGGUAGUGACGAAAAAUAACGAGACGGAUCUCUUUGAGGCCCGUUAUCGGAAUGAGAACAAUUCAAAUCCUUUAACGAGGAUCUAGCGGAGGGCAAGUCUGGUGCCAGCAGCCGCGGUAAUUCCAGCUCCGCAGGUGUAUAUCUAUGCUGCUGCGGUUAAAAAGCUCGUAGUUGGAUCUGCGUGCUCGGAACUGGUUGGCUCACUGAGUUCAAACUGGUCUCCGGCGCUUUAUUUGCUGGUUUUCCCUUGAUGCUCUUAACCGGGUGUCUCGGGUGGCUAGCGUGUUUACUUUGAAAAAAUUAGAGUGCUCAAUACAGGCGCAAAGCCUUGAAUAGUGGUGCAUGGAAUAAUAGAAUAGGACCUCGGCUCUAUUUUGUUGGUUUUCGGAACGCGAGGUAAUGAUUAAGAGGGACAGACGGGGGCAUUCGUAUUGCGACGUUAGAGGUGAAAUUCUUGGAUCGUCGCAAGACGGACGACUGCGAAAGCAUUUGCCAAGAAUGUUUUCAUUAAUCAAGAACGAAAGUUAGA
rnacentral:rRNA from 1 species